rnacentral:rRNA from 1 species
CCUACGGGCGGCAGCAGUGAGGAAUAUUGGACAAUGGGCGAGAGCCUGAAGCAGCCAAGCAGCGUGAAGGAUGACGGCUCUACGGGUUGUAAACUCCGUUUAUAAAGGAAUAAAGUGAGGCACGUGAGCCUUCUUGCAUGUACUUUAUGAAUAAGGACCGGCGAACUCCGUGCCAGCAGCCGAGGUAAUACGGAGGAUCCGAGCGUUAUACGGAUUUAUUGGGUGUAAAGGGAGCGUAGGUGGGUUGUUAAGUCAGUUGUGAAAGUUUGCGGCUCAACCGUAAAAUUGCAAUUGAUACUGGCAGUCUUGAGUGAAGUUGAGGUUGGCGGAAUUCGUGGUGUAGCGGUGAAAUGCUUAGAUAUUACGAAGAACUCCGGUUGCGAAGGCGGCUUACUGGGCUGUAACUGACGCUGAUGCUCGAAAGUGUGGGGAGCAAACAGGAUUAGAUACCCCUGUAGUC